rnacentral:rRNA from 1 species
AGCAGCCGCGGUAAUUCCAGCUCCAAUAGCGUAUAUUAAAGUUGUUACAGUUAAAAAGCUCGUAGUUGAAUUUCGGGGUUAGUAGGUUGGUCAUGCCUCUGGUAUGUACUGGUCUCACUGAUUCCUCCUUCCUGAUGAACCUUAAUGCCAUUAAUUUGGUGUUUUGGGGAAUUUGGACUGUUACUUUGAAAAAAUUAGAGUGUUUAAAGCAAGCUAACGCUUGAAUACAUUAACAUGGAAUAAUGAAAUAGGACGUUCGAUCCUAUUUUGUUGGUUUCUAGGAUUGACGUAAUGAUUAAUAGGGAUAGUUGGGGGCAUUAGUAUUCAAUUGUCAGAGGUGAAAUUCUUGGAUUUAUUGAAGACUAACUACUGCGAAAGCAUUUGCCAAGGAUGUUUUCAUUAAUCAAGAACGAAAGUUAGGGGAUCGAAGACGAUCAGAUACCGUCGUAGUCUUAACCAUAAACUAUGCCGACUAGGGAUCGGAUGAUGUUAAUUUUUUAAUGACUCA